rnacentral:misc_RNA from 1 species
GUGAAUUGAAUGUGUAAUUACUUUAUACUAGAACAUUUAUUGAAUGUGAAUUGAAUGUGUAAUUACUGGACAUUUGACCAAACUGAGAUUUGAUAAUAUUGCUAGAAUUUAAUGGUAUUGAGACUGAAUGAUGAUAUUAGAAGUGCUAUAGAUGGUAUUUAAAGUUUGGGAGAUGGAGAAAUGAAUAUUGGGAGUGUUCUUUUGUGCAGGUUGUGAACAU